AACGAACGCUGGCGGCAGGCCUAACACAUGCAAGUCGAACGCCCCGCAAGGGGAGUGGCAGACGGGUGAGUAACGCGUGGGAACCUACCCAGUGGUACGGAACAACCCAGGGAAACUUGGGCUAAUACCGUAUACGCCCCUAGGGGGAAAGAUUUAUCGCCAUUGGACGGGCCCGCGUUGGAUUAGCUAGUUGGUGGGGUAACGGCCUACCAAGGCAACGAUCCACAGCUGGUCUGAGAGGAUGAUCAGCCACACUGGGACUGAGACACGGCCCAGACUCCUACGGGAGGCAGCAGUGGGGAAUCUUGGACAAUGGGCGCAAGCCUGAUCCAGCCAUGCCGCGUGAGUGAAGAAGGCCCUAGGGUUGUAAAGCUCUUUCGGCGGGGACGAUAAUGACGGUACCCGCAGAAGAAGCCCCGGCUAACUCCGUGCCAGCAGCCGCCGUAAGAC
rnacentral:rRNA from 1 species